rfam:Triticum aestivum genome assembly, contig: Triticum_aestivum_CS42_TGACv1_scaffold_502731_6BL
UUUGUACUCCCUCAGUCCCAAAUUCUUGUCUUAAAUUUGUCUAAAUACGGAUGUAUCUAGUUACAUUUUAGUGUUAGAUACAUCCAUAUCUAAACAUAUGUAAGACAAGAAUUUUGGGACGGAGGGAAUACUAC